rnacentral:rRNA from 1 species
CACGUAGGGCGCAAGCGUUGUCCGGAAUUAUUGGGCGUAAAGAGCUCGUAGGCGGUCUGUUGCGUCCGCUGUGAAAACUCGGGGCUUAACCCCGAGCCUGCAGUGGAUACGGGCAGACUAGAGGUAGGUAGGGGAGACUGGAAUUCCUGGUGUAGCGGUGAAAUGCGCAGAUAUCAGGAGGAACACCGGUGGCGAAGGCGGCAUCCUGGACCGGUAUUGACGCUGAGGCGCGAAAGCCAGGGGAGCAAACGGG